rnacentral:rRNA from 1 species
AACGAACGCUGGCGGCAUGCCUAACACAUGCCAGUCGAACGAGACCUUCGGGUCUAGUGGCGCCCGGGUUUGUAACGCGUGGGAACCUGCCCUUAGGUUCGGAAUAACUCCCCGACAGGGGUGCUAAUACCGGAUCAUGUCUUCGGACCAAAGAUUUAUCGCCUUUGGUUGGGCCCGCGUUGGAUUAGCUUGUUGGUAGGGUAAAAGCCUACCAAGGCGACGAUUCAUAGCUGGUUUGGGAGGAUGAUCAGCCACACUGGGACUGGGACACGGCCCAGACUCUUACGGGAGGCAGCAGUGGGGAAUAUUGAACAAUGGGCGAAAGCCUGAUGCAGCAAUGCCGCGUGAGCGAUGAAGGCCUGAGGGUUGUAAAGCUCUUUUACCCGGGAUGAUAAUGACAGUACCGGAAGAAUAAGCUCCGGCUAACUCCGUG